GCACUGCUGACGAGUCCCAAAAAGGACAAAACAGCUGUCCAGUGC
rnacentral:hammerhead_ribozyme from 1 species